rnacentral:rRNA from 1 species
UACGUAGGGGGCAAGCGUUGUCCGGAUUUAUUGGGCGUAAAGAGCGUGUAGGCGGUUUGGUAGGUCCGCUGUGAAAACUCGAGGCUCAACCUCGAGACGCCGGUGGAAACCAUCAGGCUAGAGUCCGGAAGAGGAGAGUGGAAUUCCUGAUGUAGCGGUGAAAUGCGCAGAUAUCAGGAAGAACACCCGUGGCUAAGGCGGCUCUCUAGUACGGUACUGACGCUGAGACGCGAAAGCGUGGGGAGCGAACAGG